UGCAGAUAUCAAGGGCUUCUCAUUUUACCUCACUGUUGAUUAAUAUAACACUUCACAUACUAAAACAUAGUUUUCUUGUUUAACAGAAUUCUUUGUUUCUGAAUUUUUACAACAUUUUUUGAGUAAAAUGUUUAACCCUGGCUGAACACAAGUUGGGUCUUAUUAUCGAUAUGUCCAUAAAUUCUAAAAGACGUCAACCAGCUUCUUGGGAGUCGGGGUAGGGAAAAAAAAGCCUACUCUGUGCAACCAUCACAAACUGAAAACCUAACUGUUCUGGGACUUAGACUGGAACUGUGUGCUUCGGUCAGAAGAGUCUAAGCUUUAGCCUUUUGGUAACAAGCACUGCAGCAGGGUUUGGGGUCAAACAAUGCAUUAAAGGGAUUUACUUUCAUAAAGAUAAAGUAUCUUGUUGUAUAUGUUGUUUUAACCAUUUUCUUUUUAUUCUUUUAGGGUUUUUAAAUGGGAACGUUCUAUAAGGGCAUUUCUACCACAAAAUCCAAGAAUGGAACCCUUCCCAUGAAUACUGCCUCCUCUACAACCCAAUUGAUGGAAUUCGAAACUGACACAGAUUCAACAAAUAGGAUCUUCUCACCAACACGGCAAUCAAAGGCGGGGCUUACCGGUCGAUGGUUUCUUCCGCGCAACUCCAAGACAGGCUCAAGAUAAAACAACUCCGGUUAUUUUUCUGCUUGACGCAUGGCGUGACAAGAUGAUAGCAGACCGGAUGUCAACGCUGUUCUGCAACUGUUGCGACUGGAGAGAUGUUUUGGGUGAUCAAGAAAGUGGUAGCUUUUUAGACCCGCCCUCCUCACAACACCCGAUACCGCCCCCUUCAACGUUAACCACACCCCUUCUCAGUAUAAAAAAAAACAACCGGACAGACCGAUCGGAACAUCCAUGCAACUUCACUGACCAUACUUUUAGCAUCUGAAACCAUGAACAACUACGCGGUUGAAAGAACUACAGCUUCAACAUCACCGCAGCAUGGCUCUCCGGACAGCGAUAAAUUCUUUCCGGGACCGUACCACCCUCCUUUCCCCUCGCCAACCCCUGAAUCCUCUUCCGAACUCGACAGCGACAGCGAGAGUCUCCUCACAUCGCUGCAGAGGCGUAUCGACGACUGGGCUAAUGCCCCCGGAGGCGUGCAUGUACGACCCGAGUACUUUGUUUUACGGGAUGAGAAUUCCACGCUUCCAACCACACUUCCAGCCAGGCUUCCAGCCAUGCCGUCUCUGUCAGAGACCCAGGAGGAAGAUUCACAAGUGCUGAAUCUUCCACCCUCCCCGGACUGUUCUCAGUCUGAGUACUCACAGCUCCAGGACUCAGAACUUCCCUCCGGCCAAAGAGAACCAGACUUCC